AGAACAUUUUUGUAUAACUCUAUAUAAGUGCUAAAAACUAUAUAUAAUUGAUGUAAGGAGAGCAUCAGAUUUAUAAAUCACAAAGUGAUAAAACCGAUUCUAUCUAAAAUAUGAAAAUGGCAGGAAAUAUGGUUAAUAUUGUCAGGUUUGUUUAUGUUAUGAUUAUUUUCUUGUCCCUAUUUAUUGUUGAAGCGACGGAUGUUGAACCGGACGCUAAGCCGGUUAUUCCUGAAUGUAAGAAAGCUGCUGAUUGUCCACCGACAUUGUGCCAAUAUCCUUAUCUUGUGAGGUGUGAUAAAAAAUUGGGUUGUUAUUGUUAUUAGGAAAAUGCUAAACAGUGUAAUGGAAUACUAGUUAAAUAUAUUAAUAAGAAAAAAUUUUAUCUUAGAAAUUGUUCAUUUAAUACAUUAAAAGUGUAAAAAAUUAUCUUAUCAACAUUAAUUUUAUCUUUUAUUUUUAUU